UAAUACGAAGGGAGCUAGCGUUGUUCGGAAUUACUGGGCGUAAAGGGCGCGUAGGCGGCUUGGUCAGUCAGAUGUGAAAGCCCCGGGCUUAACCCGGGAACUGCGUUUGAUACAGCCAGGCUUGAAUUCGGGAGAGGUGAGUGGAAUUCCCAGUGUAGAGGUGAAAUUCGUAGAUAUUGGGAAGAACACUAGUGGCGAAGGCGGCUCACUGGACCGACAUUGACGCUGAGGCGCGAAAGCGUGGGGAGCAAACAGG
rnacentral:rRNA from 1 species